GGUUGACCUCGGAUCAGGUAGGAAUACCCGCUGAACUUAAGCAUAUCAAUAAGCGGAGGAAAAGAAACCAACAGGGAUUGCCUCAGUAACGGCGAGUGAAGCGGCAACAGCUCAAAUUUGAAAUCUGGCCCAGCGCCCGAGUUGUAAUUUGUAGAGGAUGCUUUAGGCGCGGCGCCUUCCGAGUUCCCUGGAACGGGACGCCACAGAGGGUGAGAGCCCCGUAUGGUCGGACGCCAAGCCACUGUAAAGCUCCCUCGACGAGUCGAGUAGUUUGGGAAUGCUGCUCAAAAUGGGAGGUAAAUUUCUUCUAAAGCUAAAUACCGGCCAGAGACCGAUAGCGAAAAAGUAGAGUGAUCGAAAGAUGAAAAGCACUUUGAAAAGAGGGUUAAACAGCACGUGAAAUUGUUGAAAGGGAAGCGCCUGUGACCAGACCUGCGCCCUGGGGAUCAUCCGGCGUUCUCGCCGGUGCACUCCGCUGGGCUGCAGGCCAGCAUCGGUUCUCCUAGGGGGAUAAAAGCACUGGGAACGUGGCUCCUUAGGGAGUGUUAUAGCCCGUUGCACAAUACCCUUGGGGGGACCGAGGUACGCGCUCCGCAAGGAUGCUGGCGUAAUGGUCAUCAGCGACCCGUCUUGAAACACGGACCAAGGAGUCAAGCAUUAGGGCGAGUGUUUGGGUGCAAAACCCGCACGCGAAAUGAAAGUGAACGCAGGUGAGAGCUUCGGCGCAUCAUCGACCGAUCCUGAUGUUCUCGGAUGGAUUUGAGUAAGAGCCUUACCGCUUGGACCCGAAAGAUGGUGAACUAUGCCUGUAUAGGGUGAAGCCAGAGGAAACUCUGGUGGAGGCUCGCAGCGGUUCUGACGUGCAAAUCGAUCGUCAAAUAUGGGCAUGGGGGCGAAAGACUAAUCGAACUAUCUAGUAGCUGGUUACCGCCGAAGUUUCCCUCAGGAUAGCAGUGUUGUUUUCAGUUUUAUGAGGUAAAGCGAAUGAUUAGGGACUCGGGGGCGCUAUUUUGCCUUCAUCCAUUCUCAAACUUUAAAUAUGUAAGAAGCCCUUGUUACUUUGUUGAACGUGGGCCUUCGAAUGCAGCAACACUAGUGGGCCAUUUUUGGUAAGCAGAACUGGCGAUGCGGGAUGAACCGAACGCGGGGUUAAGGUGCCAGAGUGGACGCUCAUCAGACACCACAAAAGGCGUUAAUACAUCUUGACAGCAGGACGGUGGCCAUGGAAGUCGGAAUCCGCUAAGGACUGUGUAAGUUAACCCCUAACCCCCAUCACAAACAACUGUCGCUGCACCCCAAUGCUAACUCUCUACAGGUAACAACUCACCUGCCGAAUGUAUUAGCCCUGAAAAUGGAUGGCGCUCAAGCGUCCCACCCAUACCCCGCCCUCAGGGUAGAAACGAUGCCCUGAGGAGUAGGCGGCCGCGGGGGCGGUGACGAAGCCCAGGGCGUGAGCCCGGGUCGAACCGCCUCUGGUGCAGAUCUUGGUGGUAGUAGCAAAUACUUCAAUGAGAACUUGAAGGACCGAAGUGGGGAAAGGUUCCAUGUGAACAGCGGUUGGACGUGGGUUAGCCGAUCCUAAGCCAUAGGGAAGUUCCGUUUCAAAGGGGCACUCGUGCCCCGAAUGGCGAAAGGGAAGCAGGUCAAUAUUCCUGCGCCUGGAUGCGGGUUUUUCGCGGCAACGCAACCGAACGCGGAGACGGCGGCGGGGGCCCCGGGCAGAGUUCUCUUUUCUUCUUAACGGUCUGCCACCCUGAAAACAGUUUGUCUGGAGAUAGGGUCCCAUGGCCGGAAGAGCCCAGCACCUCUGCUGGGUCCGGUGCGCCCCCGACGUCCCUUGAAAAUCCGCGGGAGGGAAUAAUUCUCGCGCCAGGUCGUACUCAUAACCGCAGCAGGC
rnacentral:rRNA from 1 species